rnacentral:rRNA from 1 species
UGCUCAGCUGCUCUAGCUCGUGCGAGUCUAGCGCGGGGCAGAUUGCUUCGGUAAUUGACCUAGCGGCGGACGGGUGAGUAAUACUUAGGAAUCUGCCUAUUAAUGGGGGACAACAUCUCGAAAGGGAUGCUAAUACCGCAUACGCCCUACGGGGGAAAGCAGGGGAUCACUUGUGACCUUGCGUUAAUAGAUGAGCCUAAGUCGGAUUAGCUAGUUGGUGGGGUAAAGGCCUACCAAGGCGACGAUCUGUAGCGGGUCUGAGAGGAUGAUCCGCCACACUGGGACUGAGACACGGCCCAGACUCCUACGGGAGGCAGCAGUGGGGAAUAUUGGACAAUGGGGGGAACCCUGAUCCAGCCAUGCCGCGUGUGUGAAGAAGGCCUUAUGGUUGUAAAGCACUUUAAGCGAGGAGGAGGCUCUUUUGGUUAAUACCCAAGAUGAGUGGACGUUACUCGCAGAAUAAGCACCGGCUAACUCUGUGCCAGCAGCCGCGGUAAUACAGAGGGUGCGAGCGUUAAUCGGAUUUACUGGGCGUAAAGCGUGCGUAGGCGGCUUUUUAAGUCGGAUGUGAAAUCCCCGAGCUUAACUUGGGAAUUGCAUUCGAUACUGGGAAGCUAGAGUAUGGGAGAGGAUGGUAGAAUUCCAGGUGUAGCGGUGAAAUGCGUAGAGAUCUGGAGGAAUACCGAUGGCGAAGGCAGCCAUCUGGCCUAAUACUGACGCUGAGGUACGAAAGCAUGGGGAGCAAACAGGAUUAGAUACCCUGGUAGUCCAUGCCGUAAACGAUGUCUACUAGCCGUUGGGGUCUUUGAGACUUUAGUGGCGCAGCUAACGCGAUAAGUAGACCGCCUGGGGAGUACGGUCGCAAGACUAAAACUCAAAUGAAUUGACGGGGGCCCGCACAAGCGGUGGAGCAUGUGGUUUAAUUCGAUGCAA